AGCCAGGGUUGUUCUUGCUACAUGACCAAUUCUUUUUCCGUAGUCUACCCCCAGAAGCUUUAAAAAUUUCUCACCUUCGUAUGAAAAGACACCCUUAGAAAUAACUUUUUUUUUUUCUUUGUACCAGGGAUUGAACUCAUGACCAUGUGCUGGCCAGGCAGGUGCUUAUGCCACUGAGCUAAAUCCCCAGCCUAACUUUUUAUACUUGGUUGACACUCCUCUCCUUACUUCGUUAUAAUCAGGAUUUGUGAUUUGUGAGUGCCUAUGUAUUCUUUUAUUUCUUCUCGCACAAUGUUUCUGUCCUGUAGUGUUUAUUUUAUGAAGUUGGGCAUGCCUGUGAUGGGGCAUGUAUGUUUAUAAUCAGUAUCUCUAUUGAAUUGUUUCCUUAACCAAUAUAUAGUGGGUUUUUUUGUCUGUUUGUUUUUUCCUUUUAUGACCAGUUUUGGCUUGACGUCCACUUUGUCUGAAAAUAGGGUAGCUACUCCUGCUUUUUUAGGGGAAUUCUCAUUGUAUAGAAUAUUGUUUUUCAUGUUUUGAGUUUUAGUCUAUGAAUUUUUUUUGGCUCACAUGUGUUUCUUGUAUACAACAUAUUGUUGGAUUUUGUUUCUUGAUCUGGCUUUUCAAUCUGUGUCUUUUGAGUGCAGAAUUGAGACCAUUCCCACCCACAGUUAUUGCUGAAGUUACUGACUUAAUCCUGUCACUGCAUUUUUUCUGUUGCCGACUCCCACGCCCUUCUGACUUCCUGCUCUCCCUGCCAGGUGUGUUUCUUCUGUUAGAUCUUUGGUACUGUUAGCACCAUUCUCGUCUUUGGAUAUCACUGAGAAUUUUUGGAAGCAUUGGUUUGAUCAUGAAUUUUUAAGGUGCUCUUUGUUGUAGAACUACCUUAUUUCUUUUUCAAUUCUGAUGUCUCAGAAGUUAUUUUCUUUUAGGGCUUGAAAAACCCUUUACUCCAAGUGCUUUUGGUCUUUACGGUUUAUAUUGAGACCUGCUAUAAUUUUAAUGGAUUUACCUUUAUGCGUGAUUUAUUCUUUUUCUCUAACAGCAUUUAAGAUGCAGUCCUUGUGUUGGACUUCUGGGAUUUUGACUGUAAUUUGUUACAGAGGUUCUUUUCUGAAUGUGGCUAUUUGGGGUUCUUUAUCCCUCCCUAAUAAACAAUUGAUUCUUUUCUCAUUAGUCAAUUGAACAUUCCAAAUAAAAUUCUCAUGUAUAAAUGAGUCCAUCUGUGGUAGAUCAUCACUGCAUAAGAGGCCUCUGGCUUUUACACACUUUGCAUGGAAUCUGAAAUUCAUGAGCCCAGAAGAAAAAGAAAGGGACGCGGAACAUACCCACACCAUGUCAUCACCCUGAGGUGAGGCACGUAGGCACUCACCAGCUGGGCUUAAUUGGGUUUCCUUCCUUCCUUCCUUCCUUCCUUCCUUCCUUUCUUCCUUCCUUCCUUCCUUUCUUUGUGCUUAUGCCACUGAGCUAAAUUGCUAGCUCCGUUAACAGUGUUUUUUUGGUUGCUGUUGCUGCUGCUGUUUGUUUUUUUGUAAUUUUGCUAUCAAGGAUCAAACUCAUAACCUCAUGUUUGCCAGGCAGGCACUUUGCUUGUGCCACUGAGCUAAACCCCUGGCCGCACUUAACUGGGUUUCAUUCCUAUGGAUUGCAUUUAUGGGAUUUUGUAGAUUCGAGUGGAGAAGGUCAGAGAACAUGAAAGAAGAGCAGACUCAUAUCCAUCCUUAUCUGAUAGGCAAAAAAAGAAAAAACCCAGCUAUGAAAAAGAUGACAACAGAGUAGAUGGAUUAUGAAGAAAUUUCUGGACUAUACUGAGAAUGCUAUGAUGAAGUAGGAUUAUAUGAAUUUCCCCGGGAAGCUGGUGAUUAUUUCUAUGAGAAAAUGUAUUCUAGCUUUCAACUCAGGCUGUCUGGAGCAUAUACUUUUUAUCGGAAUUUCAGGAGGAUUCAUAGGCAUUUCAUUUUCUAUCUAAUCUCAGAGACAGGAACUCUACCCUCUUCAAGCUGAAGCACCACAGACAGAAGUAGGAAUAAGUCUACCCAAAAUGCAUGCUGGGUGGGAGUGCUGAUUUGUUUUUUAAAGACAAGGUCUCACUAUGUAGCCCAGGCUGGCAUUGAACUCACAGUGAUCCUCCUGCCUCAGCUUCCUGAAUGCUUGUAUUACAGGCAUGUGCCAUCGUGCCCAGCUCCUUCAUCUUGCAUUCUAACCAAUUAAAGCAGUGAGAAAUAAUGCCCCCUCCCCGCACAGACGGGACCUGAGAGGGGUCAGUCCAGCUUGGCCCUGGUUCACUGCUAAGGUACUCAGAUAUGCCAGGUGUCAGUGUCACUUGUGCCUAGAAUGAAAAGGAAACGAGAUGUUACAUCUGUGUCACAUAGUGCAUGGGGGAGGCUGAGGCAGGAGGGUUGUUGCAAGUUUGAGACCAUCCUGAACUACAAACUGAGUUCACGGCCAUCACGGCCAUCCUGAACUGCAUUGUGAGACCCUCCCUGUCUCAAAAAUGACAAAACAAACAAAAGCAAAAAACAUGACAUGAAGAUAGUAUUUAGUUUGUCUUGCAUGGACUUGCUUCAGAAAGAUGCUAGAAAUAUAUUAAAAGUGGUCAAAAUUGUUUCUGCAUCUAUUGUCUACAUGCAAUAAUUCAUGUAAUUAUAUCAUGUAAUUAAUAAUUUCAUGCUAGAAAUAUGAGUGAUGAAAACUACAGUGAAUGUUUAUAUUUAAAAAAUUUAUUUCAGUAAAAGAUGCAUUGCCUCAAAAUACUCCCAUUUGCCUCAAACACAUUAAGCCCAUUGUUCAUGCCCAUUCUGAAGCAGCUUGGGAUUCAUUCACAAGCAGAUUUAGUUGUGCUGCUGGCUGCUUCUGUAUCCUGAAUUAAUUCGGAAUAUUUACCUUUCAUGGUUAUUUUGACUCCGGGGAAGAGCCGCAAGUCGCACAGUGCCAGAUGCAGUGCAUAGGUGGGUGGAGACACACUGUCGUGUUUUUACCAGCCUGCUUUUCUGACAGAUGGCACUUGGCAGAAGCAGUCAUCAUACUUGCGACCACACCCUGUAAGGCCCUCCGCAGUGACGGAGGAGCAGAAAGAGGAGGGAAGACAGGGAGGAGAUGUGCCCUCCCAGGCCGUGUCCCCGGUCCCCAUCUCUUCUGACCCCUGCCUCCUAACAGCAAGUUAGCUGUGGCCCCUUCUUCCAGUUAUUCCUACAAGCUCUACCUUUUCGAGGCCUUGAGGGGACGUCUAAUUUUAGUACAGGUGCUGCCGAAGCCAGCAUGGUGGGUGGGGGAGAAGCACCUGGAAAUAAACAGUAACAAGAGGAAUUAAUUUUUUUAAUUUUUAAAUUUAAAUAUUCAUACUUUGAUUAUAUAUUUAUACACAUAUAUACAGAGCACACACUGUAGAGCAAUAUUUUAAUCAAUGACAGACAAUGGUAUUUCCCUAACAUUUCAUCAUACAGCUGAAAAACUCCCACCCAGUGACACUGAGCUGUCCAGUGUCACAGUGUAGCGCAUUACUUAUGUGCACGUGGUGCCGAUGAUGCAAACAAAACCAUUGCUCUGCCAGGCACAUGAAAGUCUACAGCGUGUGGUGAUGGGAAUAAAUGACUCUGCUACUGGCUUAUGUAGUUACUAUACUUUUUAUCAUUACAUUAGGGAACUACUUAGGAGACAUGUUUACUGUAAACAGUUUGCUAUGUUACGCUGCAGUCAGCCUCAUUUGUCUGUGUUUACUACGCAUCCUGAUUGCAUCAGGGGAUGCUAAGGAACUGGCCUAUCUCAUGUAGGUUUGCACAAGCACCUUCUUUGAUGUUCUCACAAGGAUGGAGUCGCCUAAUGAUGCGUUUCCCAGAAAGUAUCCCUGUGGGUAAGCAACGCAUGACUGUGUGUACACUCACAGGAAUGGAGUAUUAGGUGUUAUGGAAAAACAGAUGGAUAGCCCCACUCUUUCCCCAUUUUCUCCUUUAAAAAAAUUAAUUUAAUGGAUUAAAGACUGUAUACAUAAGGCUCAUGUGUAGGCAAUUUUCCUGCUGGAGUGCUCUGCUGAAAGCAAUCUGUUUUCAUGGCCUGCACUGUUUAUUUUGCAUUCAGCGAUGUGGGCACGUGGGAACCAUUUGCAGAAAAUCUCUCUGAUGAUUUCUACACCCGACGCAACACAGAAGCAGAGGGUAGAGGUCCAGCAAGCUGCCUUUCCAAAGCCAGUUGUGCAAUCUCGCCUUUUAUUACUACUGACAAGUGUGUUAAUGAGAGAGGGGAAAAAGGAAGUUGUGGAAGAGAUAAAUUCAUUCUAUCUCUGAAAGAAUGGACAUCCAAGAUUUACACAAAUAAGAGUGUUCGUGGUGGUCCUUUGGGAUAGAAUUCUGGUAAGAAAUGUGCGAGACCUUUGCACUGAAUACUGAUGAUCGAUUAUGCAAGUGUCGUACAUUGGUUGGGACUUUCAGUAUAUCUGCUACCAAUGAUUGAUUGCAAAAGCUUUGCAACACAUCCCUCUACGUCCAAGCUCCCCAUUUCCUAAUCAGCCCACCCCACAUCCUGCCACCAGAGGGAUCUUUAAAACUGCAGUUCUGACCAUGGCUCCCCUCUGUCUUACCAUGUUAUAAAGGUCACUCCCUCAUUUCAAGAAGUAAAAACUUGCUGUUGACUGAGACCAGCUUUGAAAUGCACACACGUGUGUGUUUGUACCUUGUGAGCAUAGUUGCAGACAUUUAAAAACUGUAGUUUGAUAGAAAAAUCUGUUUUCUGCUGCUGUUAAAGACAGACAAAACAAAACAAAACUUGGAGCUCUGGUAAUGGUAGACUUACAUUUUUGCAUAAGAAUAAUCCAAUCACUCCAUGUGGAAGGACAUGAUUUUCCUAGUUUCCCACAGUGCCCUAUACCUCCUGCCUUUGUUCCUCAUUUAUAUGAUCUCAUUUGUAUGAUCCGUCUGGUAUGUAAAGGCAUUAAGAUUUCAACUGUUGGACUCUGGGCUGCAGUCCAGGCACUUAGCCUUGUAUACAAGAAACAUCUGACUUUUCCCAGCCUUGUUAAGGUUCAUAUGUCACAUUCUCUCCUCUUGAACUUUAUAUUCCGAAAGCAUUUCCUAGAAGGAACUGAUUUUACCAUCUCCAGGCCUUUCUAUCUGUCUGAAAAGCCUUCUCCAUGUACCAAGCUAUUUCUUUUUUCUGAAAGUGUUUCCUGGUUUCCUUAAUCAUUCUUCCCUGCUGCCCCCACCAUCCCCCAACACGGAAUACACUCCUCUUACUGAUUAUAUUACUCUGUAUCUUACUCCUUGGUGUAGGAUAAGGAGAAACUUCUUCCUUUUAGGAGCUGCAGGUGUAAAGAGCUUGUGGAGUGGGCUUGCUAGCGUGCUCAGGGCUGACGCUGAGCUCCAGAGCUGCAGAGCUGCAGCCCUCAAAGAGCAGAGGGCCCUCACAGCAGUGGGUCUCUAUGAGGAGGGGUAGAUGGGAGUCUGGUGGGUGCGGCUAGGGACUAACAUUAAGAACACAGAAGAGACUUGAAAAGAGCAGAGACGUUUUAACCCAGGGGUGUCAAGUAAAAACUACCAAGAAGACUGGGCUUGGUGUUAAGCCUGUAGUCCCAGCUGCUCAGGAGGCAGAAGCAGGAGGAUCACUUGAGCCCAGAUUCCAGGCCAGUUUUUAGUUGAAAACUGAAAACAUUGAAGGAGAUUGACCCUGGACAAUGAAUAGAAAUGGAAAGGAGGACAAGCACAGGAUUUGUUGUUUUCCGCAGUGCUGAGAAGUGAACUCAGGACCCUGUGCAUAGCAGGCAAACACUUUACACUAAGCAAUGCCUCCAGCUUCUUGGGGUUUGUGAGUUUUAAUAAACUGAAUGCAAGAGUGAGGGAUGGAGCUCUGGUAGAGAGCAGUUGGCUCUUGUGUAAAAGGCUCUGCAUUCUGUCCCCAGCACCAAAAAAAAAGUGUAAUACUUUAAUAAAUUAUUUAAAAGUUAGGUUUAGGAAAAAAUAGAUUUAGCAGUUGGGUGUAAUGUGGUCUUCCUCCACGGUCCCACAAAUCUCCAUAAAGAAUUAAAAUCAUCAAGAUUCACCAAUGACUCUCUGUCUGUGGAGUCCAAAUCCAUGCAUUCAAACAACUGUGAAUAGAAAACACUAAACAAAAUUGUAUUGAACCGAUGGAGACUUCAUUCCCUCAACAAUACAGUAUGAGAUUUAAAGCCAGGCCUAGUGGCACAUGCCUAUAAUUCUACCACUUGGGAGGCUGAAGCAGGAGGAUCACCACAAGUUUCAGGCCACAGGUGAGUUCAAGGUCUGCCUGAACUACACCAUGCCUCAAAAAAAAAAAAAAAUUAAAAUGUCAAAUCUAUCAAAGGAUCAUUUACAUAACAUUUACGUUGUAUUGUAAGUGCUCAAGAAAUCAUUUAAAGCAUAAGGGAGAACUGCAUAGUGGCCAGCUUUCCAUUGCUGGGACAAAACUCCUGACAGCCACAACUUAAAGGAGGAAAUAUUUAUUUUGGCUCACAGUUUCAGAGGUUUCAGCCCAUGGCUAGCUGGUUUCAUGGCAGAAGCGACUGGACUCAUGGCAUCUGGAGACACAGAGAAGGGGAAGAGCCAGAGGGCAAAGGCCCAGGGGCCGCAUAUAGUCCCUAAGGUCAUGCUGCUGUAACCCAGCAGACAUACCCGGAAGUGUGUUUGCUAAUCCAUCUCUCAUGCUUAUAAAAUAUCAAAAUUAACACAGUUUUUUUGUUCCACACAAAGAGUUUAACAAAGACUAGUUUGGCUAUUAGAAGGUCGUUGAUAAGGGCAGGAUUGGGGUUAAGGACACACAGGGAAGUUGGAAUCCUCUUUCGUGGUGAACUUCUCUCCAGAGGCGUCACAUCUCGGCUUCAGCAGUUUCUGCUCUUGUUCUCAUAGCUUUCCUUCUGGCUCUUUACCCUUAUUGCAACCCUGGUGAGCCUGUCUGCCCUCAAGGCCUCAGCCAUGCGUCUCUGGCUUUCUUCCCUCUCGGGUCUGUCUCUGGGUGUCUGUAGAAGUGAGCUGGUAGCUGUAGGAGGGUGGUAAAACAUGACAAGCUCCUGGGAUCAUCUCUUUCUAGAAUGGAGACAGACCAGGAAUGGGCUCCCAACCAGUGUGCAUACUGGAUACCAGCCUGGCCCAGGGAUCCACCUUGGUUUCCCAAAGCCAUUAUUUCGAAGGUGUUUGUGAAAUCCAAUUGACUUUAAACUAUUCUCUCAAUGCCUUCUUGCUCGAAUGCCUGCACCCUCCAGCUUGCAGAAUUGCUGGGGCUUUUCUAGCUUCUGCUGUGGACCUCACCUGACCUCACUGCCAGGGAGGGAAGUGAUUCUAGUCACCAGCCUUGGGGAAUGCAGCUGGUCGGUCUCAUGGGGAAGGCAGAGCUCUAUUCACUCUCUGCUUGGCGUUGGCGGCUCAGACUCAUUUCCUCUGUAAAUUCUGGGCUUCAUUUGAUUCUUUCCAAAAGACUGGCUUGGAGAUGAGUUUGUUGCUGGCUUUCCUAUGUUCACUGUGCUUGUCUUGACGGCUCCACUCCUAAGAAGCAGACAGGCUGUGCUUGCUAAAAUAUCCCAUCACAACUUUUUAAAAGGCUCGACACUUAGCUCUUCUACUGAUCUUCAUACCACUAUUUCAGACCCGGGAGAAGACAUCACGUAGCCAAAGAAGGAAGAGGGCCGAACUCACCCUUUCAUCAGGAGCCUACUUCUGUGAUAGUGGCCUCUUGAUCCAUUCUCAAGGGCAGGGCUCUCAUAUCAGUCACUUCUUAAAGAUCCCACAACUCAAGAGUACUCUUUGUGGAAUAAGAUUCCAACAUAGGAACUUUAGGGAUCACAUUUAAACCAUAGCAAGCCUGGCCCCCUGUCUUGUCCUGCAUGGCCCUUGGUGUUUCUGUAGGCUUCCUGGGACUCUGCUGGGAACUUGAUCUCUGUCCUGACCUGUAGCCUCUCUAGGUCUAAUCCAGGCUGUACUUUAUUGGGGUGACCAAUGGUCCUUUCCAGGCUGUUUUCCUGUUCAAAGAAGUGGACAGACAACUAAAAACUGUUAAAGUUUAAAAGAAGAAGGAAAAGCAAAAAAGAAGUGCCCUGAAGAAGAUGAUGUAAAGAAGACAAACGUGCAUCCUGCAUGUAGAGCAGGCCACUGCAAGAGCAAGGAGACAGUGGUCACAAGGCCAGUGCACAUCUUCUGUAUCCUCCUUUGACAUCAGCUCGGGGGGUCCCAUGUAGAGCUAAAGCUGCUCUGCACCUGCACCCCGGCCGCCAUGGACAGACCUCCAUGUCUGAUAGGUCAGGCCAAUUACCCUGCCGGUUUUCCAUGCCCUAAUCUCCUGCCGCAGUUUCUUCUGCCUUACACCAUCAGCAAUAUGUCUCUCAUCUUCUAUUUCCUAGAAAUUUGUUAAAAUUCUCUGCUGUUUACUUGUCUCAUUCUGUUAUUGUUUAUGUCUUUUAAUUUCCAUACUUUCCUUUUAUUGUGGUCUUGAGUGUGAGAGGAAAGAAAGGCGCAUAGUUCAUGAUUUUGAAGAGAAACUGGUACCUUGGCUUGCUUAUUUUCAUCUUGUAACUAGUGGGUGAGUGCUGUUAAGAAUAGGGAGGGUUCUUGGACAUAGUAGCCAGUGUCUAGUCACAACAACAGCACCUCUGUUUUUCAACAGAAGGAAUUUAAUAUAGGGAGUUGUUUGCACAGGCACUGGAAGAUAGAAUGAAAAGAGGACCCUGAGCAGAUCAGAAGGGUAUUACUAAGAAAGCAGAGGCAACUCAUAGUCCUAAGAGAACAAAAGUGAUUGUCAAACAAAAGAGAUUUUGAGGUUGUCAAAAACUAGAAACUUAGAGGAUGGGCUGGGCUUAGCUUUGGAGGAAUGGCUAUGACUGGUAGCUGGCAUCUCUCAGACAGAGAUGUCAUUGGUGAUGGGGGCCAGAAAUGCCCAAGUAGGAGCCAGCUGUAGCAUCUGGGCUAAGGGCCCAGAGGAACACUAGACAAAAGAAAAGAAGGAACAAGAUGGCUGUGUGUUCUCCUGGCUUCUGAGUUCUCUGUGACACUUAACAGGAAGCCAGCUGUCAAAAGAGUCUGGCAAGCUUAGUUACAGGGUCCUUGUCCCAGCCUGACAGAGCACAGUACAGAAUUGUGAAUUUGGAGUUGAGUGAUGGUAGAAAAGAAAGACACAAAGCAUCUAAUAUACAUAAAUCUAUAUUUAUAGGCAAGAUCUUUCUUCAGUGUUUCAGACUUUUUUUUGCAAUGACAAGUCUAGACUUUUUUGUUUUUUAUAAUGUUGGGAAAUAAACCUACGGCCUCGGACAUGCUAAACUUAUGCUGAGCCCCAGAACCAGCCUCCAGAUUUGUAUUUCUGUCAAUUGUCCCUUUUCAACUGUCUCAUGGGAGUAUCACAGACAAACAGAAAAUUAACAAAUUCCUCUUCUAAAGCCUCAGAAUAAUUCAUGCUAACUUUGAACUGAAUUAAACUGGGGGUAGUGCUAUUUUCUAUAUGAAGGCUGUUUACCAAACUGAAUCAUGUUUGCAUCCAAAUUUGUUUUCUUUCUCCAUAAAGGACAACAUUGUCCAGCCACCAAAGCCCAAUGUGGGAGUUAUUCAAUAUGGCUUUUUCUCCCUCAAUCCCAUACAUUUCACUCACUGGAUUUUGCCAUUUUGCUUGCUUAGGCAGUGUGCUGCAGGGGGCUGUUAUCAGUGAAAGCUCUUAAAAGCUUCACCAUCACUGUCUUAGGGUCUCUUAAUUCUAUCUUAUCUCCUAGAUUGCCUUUCUGUUGCCUCAUUAGACCCUGAUUACAUUUUCUGUUGACCACUACUGUUACCUUCUAGUUGGUCUCUUAACUGCUAUUUUAUCCUUAAGUUGAUUACUAGCAUGAUUUUACAAAUUUAGCAGAUGUAAGCCGGUUUGUGGUGGUGCACACCUGUAAUCUCAGCACUUGGGAGACUGAGGCAGGAGAAUCAUUGUGAGUUGGAGACAGCCUGGGCUCCAAAGUGAGCUCAAGGUCAGCCUGAUCUGCAUAGUUUUUACAGAUCUGCUGGGCGUAGUGGCACAAACCUGUAAUUCCAGAGGCUGAGGCAGGAGGACUGUAAGUUCAAGUCUGGCCUUGGCCACUUAGUGAUUUACCCAGACCUUGUCUCAAAAUUAAAAAAAAAAAAAAAAAGGUCCAGGGAUGUAGCUCAAUGAGAAGACUCUGGGUUUAAUAAUACCACAGCACAAAACAAAACAUAUCUGAUUAGAUCAACAUGGAGGUUAUGUCCUCGAAUGGAUAAAGGUGUUGGUACUGUGUAAUUCUUCACAAUCAGGGAAAGGAAAGCCCUGUUCAGCAAGAGUCAGUGCCUGACAGCAGUAGAGAGGGCUGAGUCUGCCAUGAGCAUGUGUGGAAUUAAAGGGUGGCAAGGACUGGAACACAGAAAAUUGGUCUUGACGCUUAGAAAUUGAAAAGGUGAGAUAAAAGGAGCAUGAGGUAAAGAUUGGAAAGAGAAGAGAGAAAAACAGAAUUAGAAUCAUAACUUUUGUUUCUAACGAGUUGGCAAGCAAAGGAUUUUGCCUUAAUGCAAAGGAAAUUAUUUUUAUAAAUUCCAGAAGUGUCUAUAACCAUCCCCUAUAAAGAUGUAAAGAAAAAGACCCUGGUUGAUAUUGUAAAGAAGCAGAGAAAAUGUAAAAAAAUGGAAUGAAGUUAAUGGAUCGCUUUUGAAGUUCAAGAGAAGCCCAAAGAAAGUUCCAAAACCUUGGGAGAGUUGCUUGAUAUGUGUGUUUAUUAACAAGAGGUGCCAGCAUUUUCAUGAGCCAGGAAUGCCAGUUUCUGACAUCUGCAAAAUGAUCCUGAGACAAAAACAGGGCAGACCUGGCUGGAAGCAUGCAGUGUGGACUGUGAAUUAGGUCUGCUUGCUACGGGGACAAGCCUGGUGUGUCCUAUAGUUGAAAAGAAGACAAAAAUGAAGGAAGAAAAUAGUGGAAACUGUCAGCUAACAGAAGAUAAUGGCAUUGCAUUCUGCUUUGUUAGGAACAUUUAGAAGUGACCUGUUGAAAAGCCACACUGAACCAAAUAGCAGAGGCAAAGCCUCAUUUCCUGAGCUGGGAUCUUGACCUUCUCAAGCAAGACAUAAGGUUUCUGGGAAAGAGACUGAAUCUAUUCAAAAGUGACACAAUGCUAUAUAAGCAUUCAGAGGUGAUGUGAUAAAAAGAAUCAGGAAAUAGCUACCAUAAAAUAGCUGUGUAAAUACUGCAGUCUCUCUUGUGUGAGAAAAUGAAACUAUAAAGGAGAACAGAAAUAUAUAACAAAUAUUGUGAAAUAGGAAGAAAUUGUUCAAAAGGUCUGGGGAGCCAGAAGGGAGGAGGGGAAAGGAAGGAAAAGGGAUGAGAAAAAAUAAGAAAAGGAUAUAAUGGGAGCAAAGUCUUAUAAAUAUGGAGAGGGAGAGAGGCUGGAGGGGAGGGGCAUUGGGUAAAAAGGUACCAAGAUGUGUCUAUACAGGUACAAAUUCCCUAUGAUGAACAUAGUCAGCAUGUAUAUCUAAAUUGCACCAAUAAACUUAAUUUUUAAAAAAAGUGGAGGAGUAGGCAAGAGUCAAGCUGGUCAUCAGACAGCGAGGUCACGUUCACACUGAGGUGGCCACCUGGAUGCGAAGUGUCUGAAGGUCCUGCAGGCGAGGGGGACCCUGCAGGUGACCUCAAGGAGAACACACACGUGGAGGCCACGUUGGAGAAGAUUCGCACUCCGAAGCCAUGGAGGAGGCGCUGAAGAAGGCCGCGGGAAUUGAUUCUCGCCUCAAGUCACAAGUCCUGGGGUCCAGGAUCUGAGAGGCUACGUGGGGCCUCCGGAUGAUGUGUGCUACAUCUAUGACCUGCCGUGUCCUUAGGAGCUGAGGUGCUUGUGCUCUGGCUCCUAUAGCUUCUCAUCACUGUCACCACGAAGCCUGUGGCCAAGUCACAUCAGCAAGAUGGGAAAAGAAUGCCUGGCAAAUAGGGUGCGAAGGAACUGGUUACCCCACCUGGGCUCUGGUGGAUGUCUGGCCUCCACUGACCUGUUGUUCUUGCAUUUCUUGGAGGAAUGCUACAGAAUCUUCCCCGUGGAAUCUGACCCUAUGCUGUCAGUAGGAUGUGCCCAAGACAUCUCCUCUCAUGAGUCAGUGCCCCAUUAGCAGAGUUCCAGGGUCUCACAUUGUAGUGCAGACUGGCCUUGAACUCACCAUGUAGCCCCAGGCUGGUCUCAGACUGGCAGCAAUCUUCCUGCCUCAGCCCCCUGACUGCUGGGACUGUAUGUGUGCCUCCAUGCCAGGCCAAUUAUGAGUUUUCCCUUGCUGCUUGAUGUGGACCUCAGGGCUUGUCUUGUCCCCUGGCCCAUUCGUUCCAGCUGCAAUAGCUGCCCUUCAUUUCCUGUAAGACGCCAAACUCUUGCCCAGGACACUGUACCUGGUUCCUUUACCCGAGCCGUAUUUAUCCUGCUGUUUUCAUUAUUUGAAUAUCAUUUCCCCAGGGAAGUCCUCCAAGUCACCCCCUUCCACCCAAUCCAUUGAAUCUCACAUUUCUUGGUUUUAUUUUCUUUUUCUCCAAUCACAAUCUGAAAUUACCUUACCUGCCCAUGCUGAUCUCAGCAGAACUGAAAGCCGGUCUGAGAGACGCAUCUUCUCCCUGAUUCCCUCUGGGGAUCUUGCUCCCUCCCCCAAUGCAUACUUAACUGUUUGUCAAAUGGGUUGCAUCAAAUAAAAAA